AUAGGGGAGCCGUAGGGAAACCGAGUCUUAACUGGGCGAAUGAGUUGCAGGGUAUAGACCCGAAACCCGGUGAUCUAUCCAUGGGCAGGUUGAAGGUUGGGUAACACUAACUGGAGGACCGAACCGACUAAUGUUGAAAAAUUAGCGGAUGACUUGUGGAUGGGGGUGAAAGGCCAAUCAAACCGGGAGAUAGCUGGUUCUCCCCGAAAGCUAUUUAGGUAGCGCCUCGUGAACUCAUCUUCGGGGGUAGAGCACUGUUUCGACUAGGGGGUCAUCCCGACUUACCAACUCGAUGCAAACUGCGAAUACCGAAGAAUGUUAUCACGGGAGACACACGGCGGGUGCUAACGUCCGUCGUGAAGAGGGAAACAACCCAGACCGCCAGCUAAGGUCCCAAAGUCAUGGUUAAGUGGGAAACGAAGUGGGAAGGCUCAGACAGCCAGGAUGUUGGCUUAGAAGCAGCCAUCAUUUAAAGAAAGCGUAAUAGCUCACUGGUCGAGUCGGCCGCGCGGAAGAUGUAACGGGGCUAAACCAUGCACCGAAGCUGCGGCAGCGAACGUAUCACUUAAAUUUGUUUGAGUGAAUAACGAUUGACGGAACGAAGUGACGUCAAUGCGUUAAUGAAAGUCGAGGCGAAAGCACGACAAAGCGAAUUUAAGGAUACGUUCGUUGGGUAGGGGAGCGUUCUGUAAGCCUGCGAAGGUGUACUGUGAGGUAUGCUGG
rnacentral:rRNA from 1 species